rnacentral:rRNA from 1 species
AGUCGAGCGCCCCGCAGGGGAGCGGCAGACGGGUGAGUAACGCGUGGGAAUCUACCUUUUGCUACGGAAUAACGCAGGGAAACUUGUGCUAAUACCGUAUGUGUCCUUCGGGAGAAAGAUUUAUCGGCAAGAGAUGAGCCCGCGUUGGAUUAGCUAGUUGGUGGGGUAAAGGCCUACCAAGGCGACGAUCCAUAGCUGGUCUGAGAGGAUGAUCAGCCACAUUGGGACUGAGACACGGCCCAAACUCCUACGGGAGGCAGCAGUGGGGAAUAUUGGACAAUGGGCGCAAGCCUGAUCCAGCCAUGCCGCGUGAGUGAUGAAGGCCCUAGGGUUGUAAAGCUCUUUCACCGGAGAAGAUAAUGACGGUAUCCGGAGAAGAAGCCCCGGCUAACUUCGUGCCAGCAGCCGCGGUAAUACGAAGGGGGCUAGCGUUGUUCGGAAUUACUGGGCGUAAAGCGCACGUAGGCGGAUCGAUCAGUCAGGGGUGAAAUCCCAGGGCUCAACCCUGGAACUGCCUUUGAUACUGUCGAUCUGGAGUAUGGAAGAGGUGAGUGGAAUUCCGAGUGUAGAGGUGAAAUUCGUAGAUAUUCGGAGGAACACCAGUGGCGAAGGCGGCUCACUGGUCCAUUACUGACGCUGAGGUGCGAAAGCGUGGGGAGCAAA